rfam:Rugosibacter aromaticivorans strain Ca6, complete genome.
UCUGGUGUCCAUAGCGAGGUGGAACCACCCCUUCCCUUCCCGAACAGGACCGUGAAACGCCUCUGCGCCAAUGAUAUUGCACUUCACCGUGUGAGAAAGUAGGUCAACGCCAGAC